rnacentral:rRNA from 1 species
GACGAAGGUGGCGAGCGUUGUUCGGAAUCACUGGGCAUAAAGCGCACGUAGGCGGCGGCGUAAGUCGGAUGUGAAAUCCCUCGGCCUAACCGAGGAACUGCGUCCGAUACUGCGUUGCUUGAGGACCAAAAGGGGUGCAUGGAAUUCCCGGUGGAGCGGUGAAAAUGCGUUGAUAUCGGGAGGAACGCCGGCGGCGAAAGCGGUGCACUGGUUGGUUUCUGACGCUGAGGUGCGAAAGCCAGGGGAGCAAACGGG